GGUUAAGCGACUAAGCGUACACGGUGGAUGCCCUGGCAGUCAGAGGCGAUGAAGGACGUGCUAAUCUGCGAUAAGCGUCGGUGAGGUGAUAUGAACCGUUAUAACCGGCGAUUUCCGAAUGGGGAAACCCAGUGUGUUUCGACACACUAUCAUUAACUGAAUCCAUAGGUUAAUGAGGCGAACCGGGGGAACUGAAACAUCUAAGUACCCCGAGGAAAAGAAAUCAACCGAGAUUCCCCCAGUAGCGGCGAGCGAACGGGGAGGAGCCCAGAGCCUGAAUCAGUGUGUGUGUUAGUGGAAGCGUCUGGAAAGGCGUGCGAUACAGGGUGACAGCCCCGUACACAAAAAUGCACAUAUUGUGAGCUCGAUGAGUAGGGCGGGACACGUGGUAUCCUGUCUGAAUAUGGGGGGACCAUCCUCCAAGGCUAAAUACUCCUGACUGACCGAUAGUGAACCAGUACCGUGAGGGAAAGGCGAAAAGAACCCCGGCGAGGGGAGUGAAAAAGAACCUGAAACCGUGUACGUACAAGCAGUGGGAGCCUCUUAAUGGGGUGACUGCGUACCUUUUGUAUAAUGGGUCAGCGACUUAUAUUCUGUAGCAAGGUUAACCGAAUAGGGGAGCCGAAGGGAAACCGAGUCUUAACUGGGCGUUAAGUUGCAGGGUAUAGACCCGAAACCCGGUGAUCUAGCCAUGGGCAGGUUGAAGGUUGGGUAACACUAACUGGAGGACCGAACCGACUAAUGUUGAAAAAUUAGCGGAUGACUUGUGGCUGGGGGUGAAAGGCCAAUCAAACCGGGAGAUAGCUGGUUCUCCCCGAAAGCUAUUUAGGUAGCGCCUCGUGAAUUCAUCUCCGGGGGUAGAGCACUGUUUCGGCAAGGGGGUCAUCCCGACUUACCAACCCGAUGCAAACUGCGAAUACCGGAGAAUGUUAUCACGGGAGACACACGGCGGGUGCUAACGUCCGUCGUGAAGAGGGAAACAACCCAGACCGCCAGCUAAGGUCCCAAAGUCAUGGUUAAGUGGGAAACGAUGUGGGAAGGCCCAGACAGCCAGGAUGUUGGCUUAGAAGCAGCCAUCAUUUAAAGAAAGCGUAAUAGCUCACUGGUCGAGUCGGCCUGCGCGGAAGAUGUAACGGGGCUAAACCAUGCACCGAAGCUGCGGCAGCGACACUAUGUGUUGUUGGGUAGGGGAGCGUUCUGUAAGCCUGUGAAGGUGGCCUGUGAGGGUUGCUGGAGGUAUCAGAAGUGCGAAUGCUGACAUAAGUAACGAUAAAGCGGGUGAAAAGCCCGCUCGCCGGAAGACCAAGGGUUCCUGUCCAACGUUAAUCGGGGCAGGGUGAGUCGACCCCUA
rnacentral:rRNA from 1 species